GGAAUCGCUUCAGGCCAUCUAGAGAAACGAUCAAUCAUCGUUAGGCAAUAACGAAAUUGCUUGCAAGGAGGAAGAGGACCAAUUAAGUCGAGAUGUACAUGCUGAAAACGUUGGUCAGGAAUAUCAAUCUUCAAAGAAUGGAUUUACACGUUGAAUUGCUGCUAGGAUGAGCUAAUCGAUGAACAACAUCAAAUAUUCGUCUCCGUAGCCGUUGAGGAACAUAGGGACGUAUACAUUCAGUAGAGCAAUCGCAAUAAAUAGGAGAUGUUGAACCUCAAGUUCUUCAAGAGAAACUAUCACUGGCAUAGAAACGGAGUCAACUCUUGAGAGAGCAUCUGCGACGAAAUUCUGUUUCCCAAAGAUAUGCUCGAUAUCUGUGGAAAAUUGGGCAAUGAAAUCUAAUUGACGAAUUUGCCGAGGAGAAGCUUUGUCGAGUUUCUGACGAAAAGCAUAAACCAAAGGCUUAUGAUCCGUUCUGAUGAUGACUCUUCUCCCUUC